CUGGCUCAGGAUGAACGCUGACAGAAUGCUUAACACAUGCAAGUCGACUUGAAGCAACUUCGGUUGUGGAAAGUGGCGGACGGGUGAGUAACGCGUAAAGAACUUGCCCUUCAGUCUGGGACAACCAUUGGAAACGAUGGCU
rnacentral:rRNA from 1 species